UUAAUUUGAUGUAGGUGUCCUUUUUAAAGAACCGUGUUAAUAUUGCUAGUGGGACACCAAGCAGGAUCAAGAAGUUGAUUGAUAUGGAGGCACUGGGAUUAACACGAUUAGCAGUGAUUGUGCUUGACAUGCAAACUGAUGUUAAGGGUUAUUCCUUAUUCACACUUCCUCAAGUCAGAGAUGAGUUCUGGGACUUGUGUAAGAACUACUUGCACCCAAGUAAGGUUUACUAUGGUUUGCACUCAAGUUUGGUUUACUGUC